AGCACAGCUGAUUCACCCACCAUCACAGGAAGGCAGGCGGCUUUCAAGGGCAUAGAUGCAGACCAUGUGGAAGCUUGGUGGAGGAGUCGGGGGAGUAAAAACGAGGCUGGCAUUCUGGACUUGCAUAGUCGAGAGAGCUACUGGUGUGAGGAAGCUGAUGGAAACCCAGCGCUGGCUUUGCAGGAAACACAGGGCAAUCUAUCAGCAAUCCCCCUGGGCUGCACCCUCAUGGUGGAGAGGGAUUUACUCACAUCAAAAUGAGGAUGCUACGGACAAAAGAUGAAGGACUGUUUCAGGUAAGCAAAAAUAUCAGCUAAUCAUCCCCAUACAUUUUAUUGGAGAUAGUAGCAUA
rnacentral:lncRNA from 1 species